rnacentral:tRNA from 1 species
GCACCCGUAGCUCAGUUGGUUAGAGUGCAUGCUUGACAUGCAUGAGGUCACUGGUUCGAGUCCAGUCGGGUGCA